rnacentral:rRNA from 1 species
UCAAGAAACUUCCACAAUGGGCGAAAGCCUGAUGGAGCGACGUCGCGUGAUGGACGAAGUGCUUCGGCACGUAAACAUCUUUUAUGUGGGACGAAAUUAUUGACGGUACCACAUGAAUAAGGGGCUCCUAACUCUGUGCCAGCAGGAGCGGUAAUACAGAGGCCCCAAGCGUUAUCCGGAAUCACUGGGCGUAAAGGGUGUCGAGGCGGUCAUGUUAGUCGUUCGUAAAAUCCGUGGGCUCAACCUACGGCCGGCGAGCGAAACGGCAUGACUUGAGGUUGGGAGAGGUGCAUGGAACUCACGGUGUAGGGGUGAAAUCCGUUGAUAUCGUGGGGAACACCAAAGGCGAAGGCAGUGCACCCUGGCCCAAAUCUGACGCUCACACACGAAAGCUAGGGUAGCGAACGGGAUUAGAUACCCCCGUAGUCCCUGAGCGGGCUGGCAAGGCGCAU